rnacentral:rRNA from 1 species
UGGGGAAUAUUGCACAAUGGGCGCAAGCCUGAUGCAGCCAUGCCGCGUGUGUGAAGAAGGCCUUCGGGUUGUAAAGCACUUUCAGCGAGGAGGAAGGGUAGUGUGUUAAUAGCACAUUGCAUUGACGUUACUCGCAGAAGAAGCACCGGCUAACUCCGUGCCAGCAGCCGCGGUAAUACGGAGGGUGCAAGCGUUAAUCGGAAUUACUGGGCGUAAAGCGCACGCAGGCGGUUUGUUAAGUCAGAUGUGAAAUCCCCGCGCUUAACGUGGGAACUGCAUUUGAAACUGGCAAGCUAGAGUCUUGUAGAGGGGGGUAGAAUUCCAGGUGUAGCGGUGAAAUGCGUAGAGAUCUGGAGGAAUACCGGUGGCGAAGGCGGCCCCCUGGACAAAGACUGACGCUCAGGUGCGAAAGCGUGGGGAGCAAAACAGGAUUAGAUACCCUGGUAGUCCACGCUGUAAACGAUGUCGACUUGGAGGUUGUGCCCUUGAGGCGUGGCUUCCGGAGCUAACGCGUUAAGUCGACCGCCUGGGGGAGUACGGCCGCA